rnacentral:rRNA from 1 species
CCCAGUUCGGAUCGCAGGCUGCAACCCGCCUGCGUGAAGUUGGAAUCGCUAGUAAUCGCGGAUCAGCAUGCCGCGGUGAAUACGUUCCCGGGCCUUGUACACACCGCCCGUCACACCAUGAGAGUCGGGAACACCCGAAGUCCGUAGCCUAACCGCAAGGGGGCGCGGCCGAAGGUGGGUUCGAUAAUUGGGGUGAAGUCGUAACAAGGUACC